rnacentral:rRNA from 1 species
UACGGAGGAUGCGAGCGUUAUCCGGAUUUAUUGGGUUUAAAGGGUGCGCAGGCGGAGGUGCAAGUCAGUGGUCAAAUUGCGGGGCUCAACCCCGGCCCGCCGUUGAAACUGGCUGGCUUGAGUUGGGGAAAGGCAGGCGGAAUGCGCGGUGUAGCGGUGAAAUGCAUAGAUAUCGCGCAGAACUCCGAUUGCGAAGGCAGCAUACCGGCGCCCAACUGACGCUGAAGCACGAAAGCGUGGGUAUCGAACAGG